rnacentral:rRNA from 1 species
CCUACGGGAGGCAGCAGUGAGGAAUAUUGGACAAUGGGCGCAAGCCUGAUCCAGCCAUGCCGCGUGCAGGAUGACGGUCCUAUGGAUUGUAAACUGCUUUUGCACAGGAAGAAACAACGCUACGUGUAGCGUCUUGACGGUACUGUGAGAAUAAGGAUCGGCUAACUCCGUGCCAGCAGCCGCGGUAAUACGGAGGAUCCAGGCGUUAUCCGGAAUCAUUGGGUUUAAAGGGUCCGUAAGGCGGUUUAGUAAGUCAGUGGUGAAAGCCCAUCGCUCAACGGUGGAACGGCCAUUGAUACUGCUAGACUUGAAUUAUUAGGAAGUAACUAGAAUAUGUAGUGUAGCGGUGAAAUGCUUAGAGAUUACAUGGAAUACCAAUUGCGAAGGCAGGUUACUACUAAUAUAUUGACGCUGAUGGACGAAAGCGUGGGUAGCGAACAGGAUUAGAUACCCUGGUAGUCCACGCCGUAAACGAUGGAUACUAGCUGUUGGGCGCAAGUUCAGUGGCUAAGCGAAAGUGAUAAGUAUCCCACCUGGGGAGUACGUUCGCAAGAAGAGAAACGUUAAAGUAAAGUUAGUAGACGUGAGAGUAGACGACGGACGACGACGAGGGGAGGAGG